rnacentral:lncRNA from 1 species
GGGAAAAGGAAAGAAGGAAGGAGGAAGGGAGAAAGGAAGGAGAAAGAAAGAAAAAGACAGGAAGGAAGGAAGGAAGGAAGGAAGGAAGGAAGGAAGGAAGGAAGAGAAAGGAGGUUUCUCAAUUGAUUUAAAAGAUUUAUCUCAAGGAACUCAAUCAGAAGAAUUCUAAAGCUGACCCAGAGUGAGCCAUAUGGACCAUGGAGAAAUUGAGCCCUCCUCUGACCACAGACAGGGAGAGCCUGGAGCUCAAAGAUAAAGACCCACAGCAAAUCCACUCCAAACUGGCUGCAGUUGGACCCACUUUGAGAAGAGAAAGGGCCUCUUUUCUCUGAGCUGCACCUGCUCUUCUCAUCAGAGAUUUCAUUGUGUGGUCAGAGUCAUAUGGCACUGAGGACAUUUCCAGGACAGAAAAGACCCAUCCCCAGAGUGUGUGGUGCCUUCCCAUGGCAGUCCAGACACCAAGAGGUACAAGAAAAAAAGCAUUGCUUGCCUCUUGCCUGCCUUCAUGUCUUGCUGAGGACUCAAGUUUGGCUCCCAGCACCCAUAUCAGGCAGCUCACAACCACCCGAGACUUCCACUCCAGGGGAUCCAACAGCCUCUUCGGGACUCUGCCAGUACCCUACACGUGUGGCAUAAAUACAAG